rnacentral:rRNA from 1 species
GAUGAACGCUGGCGGCGUGCCUAAUACAUGCAAGUCGAGCGAAUGGAUUAAGAGCUUGCUCUUAUGAAGUUAGCGGCGGACGGGUGAGUAACACGUGGGUAACCUGCCCAUAAGACUGGGAUAACUCCGGGAAACCGGGGCUAAUACCGGAUAACAUUUUGAACCGCAUGGUUCGAAAUUGAAAGGCGGCUUCGGCUGUCACUUAUGGAUGGACGCGCUUCGCAUUAGCUAGUUGGUGAGGUAACGGCUCACCAAGGCAACGAUGCGUAGCCGAACUGAGAGGGUGAUCGGCCACACUGGGACUGGGCCACGGCCCAGACGCCUACGUGAGGCAGCAGUAUGGAAUCUUCCCCAAUGGACGAAAGUCUGACGGAGCAACGCCGCGUGAGUGAUGAAGGCUUUCGGAUCGUAAAACUCUGUUGUUAGGGAAGAACAAGUGCUAGUUGAAUAAGCUGGCACCUUGACGGUACCUAACCAGAAAGCCACGGCUAACUACGUGCCAGCCGCCGCAGUAA